rnacentral:misc_RNA from 1 species
GAUGAAGAACGUAUUGAAAUGCGAUACUUGGUGUGAAUUGCAGAAUCCCGUGAACCAUCGAGUCUUUGAACGCAAGUUGCGCCCGAAGCCAUUAGGCCGAGGGCACGCCUGCCUGGGCGUCACACGUCGUUGCCCCCCCAUCUACUCCUUCGGGAUUGCGGGGGGCGGAUGAUGGCCUCCCGUGCGCCUCGUCGCGCGGUUGGCAUAAAUGCCAAGUCCUCGGCGACGCACGCCACGACAAUCGGUGGUUGCGAAACCUCGGUUGCCCGUCGUGUGCGGUCGUCGCGCAUCGAGGGCUCGAAAAAAUUGUCGGGCUCCGGCUCGGCUUUCAACGCGACCCCAGGUCAGGCGGGGUUACCCGCUGAAUUUAAGCAUAUCAAUAAGCGGAGGA